rnacentral:lncRNA from 1 species
GGGCAGGAACACAGAUUGAGGAUUUGGCCUUUUAAACACCAAUCUGUAAGUUUUUCUGUUCUCUUCCCAGUGUUUUCCAAGUGCCAUCGCCAGCCAUGUGACAGCGGAAUGUCCCAGCAAAUGUCUGGUGGAGGUCCUGAUCACCAUCAGCAGCCUUACGUCCCCACUGCUGUUCACCGCCUCUGGAUACCUGUCCUUCAGCGUGAUGAGAAUCGUGGAGAUUUUUAAAGAUUACCCACCAGACAUCAAAUCCUAUGAUGUGCUGCUGCUGCUCCUGCUGCUGCUGCUGCUGCUUCAGGGGGGACUCAACACUGGCACCGCCAUCCAGUGUGUGAGCUUCAAAGUCAGCGCCCGGCUGCAGGCGGCCUCCUGGGACUCCCAGUCCUGUCCCCAGGAGCGGCCAGCAGGCGAGGUGGUCCGAAGCCCCCUCAAGGAGUUUGACAAAGAAAAAGCCUGGAGAGCUGUGGUGGUACAAAUGGCCCAGUGACUGCAGGAUAAAGAAACUGAGUCUGGGUGUCUGCCUGGCUCCCGGCGUGUUCCACUGUAUGGACUCUAACCAUUGCGCAACUACCGCUUUCUAACAUACUCUUUCCCUCCCGUGAGGGCAGCCCAGGCUGCAAGGAGCUUUGGGUUUCCUGUAGUAGCUUAACUUUGAAAUGGGCAGGUGUUGAGUAUCGGGCCUUGAUAGUUGUGUCAGUUGUGUGCAUCUGAGGUGACCCUGAUGGCCUGGACAAUGUUCUUUUCAGCCCUCUUCACUUCCUGGUUUGAUCC